AUAUGUAGAGAUACAUUACUAGAGAUGUUACAGUUUCACUGUGCUGAAAAAGGAGCAAAAACUGGAGUGAUUAACAAAGCGCCACUAAUGCUCCAGGAACAGUUGGCGGAAUUACAGCCAGUGAUGCAAUAACACACCAGCUGGGUCCUUUUCCCGGUCGAGUCUUUGACGACACGCCGCUCGCGCCGCCCUCGCGGGCGUGUUCGUACCGGGAACCCGAAGGGGUCACCUUCUGCCGCAGAGCUCUUAAGCAACGUUUAGCCUUCGGAUGUGAGGUUUCGACCGCACGAACGCACGCAAACACACGCGCUGCUCUACCGCAGACCACUGCAGCGGAAUAUCCAUCGUGAUCCAGAAGGCACCUGCGUCGGGGCAGGAAGUGAGCAGGAAGGCCUUCCUAAAGUGCACGUCGCUUCGAGCGCAAGCGUUACGCCAAUUUAGAGCCAUCAAUCCACCUGAAAGAAAAGUCUCUGGACUGUGGGUAGGAACCAGAGCACCUGGAGGAAACCCUCACAAACGCAGGAAGAAAUGAGUUUAACAAACUCCCGCACAGACUUUGAGCACGGACCAAACCUACAACCCAGGAGCUGUGGGGCGCCAACACUACCUGCUGUGUGCCCUAAAUUUUGAUAAAUAUUCAAAAAAAUCUGGAAAUAUACUGACCUUGGAAUGUUUUAGCACAGAUUUCUGCAGCCAGUAUGGUCAAACUGCCUAAAAUUUGUAAAAAAAAAAAAAAAGUCCAG